rnacentral:rRNA from 1 species
AGCGAACGCUGGCGGCAGGCCUAACACAUGCAAGUCGAGCGGAAAGGCCCUUUCGGGGGUACUCGAGCGGCGAACGGGUGAGUAACACGUGAGUAAUCUGCCCUGGACUCUGGGAUAGCCACCGGAAACGGUGAUUAAUACCGGAUAUGACACCUUGCUGCAUGGUGGGGUGUGGAAAGUUUUUUCGGUCCAGGAUGUGCUCGCGGCCUAUCAGCUUGUUAGUGAGGUAAUGGCUCACCAAGGCUUUGACGGGUAGCCGGCCUGAGAGGGUGAACGGUCACACUGGGACUGAGACACGGCCCAGACUCCUACGGGAGGCAGCAGUGGGGAGUAUUGGACAAUGGGCGGAAGCCUGAUCCAGCAACGCCGCGUGAGGGAUGACGGCCUUCGGGUUGUAAACCUCUUUCAGUACCGACGAAGCGUGAGUGACGGUAGGUACAGAAGAAGGACCGGCCAACUACGUGCCAGCCGCCGCCGUAAGAC